GAAAUACUGGACCAUUUCUUUCGCUCUUAGUAACUGCUGCAAACAUUUUCUUCAGCCAUUCUGGAGUCCUUUUGGAGAGAAAGGGUAUGUCAAAAUGGGUAGAUACAGCCAUAAGACCGGUUCCGGAAAGGUCACACAUGCUAAAAACCUGACCAACAAACGCUGGUCCACCUUUUCCGGUGGUGUUGAGCCCAGAAAUCCUUACCGACGAUGGAAAACCCGACCCGGAAUCCGAACGCAUGUUUACGAUGAGCUUAUCAGGGCAAUUGAAGAGAAGAAUCAGAGAAGGGCAAAGAGGAGAAGAUUCU
rnacentral:misc_RNA from 1 species